rnacentral:siRNA from 1 species
UAUAUGUAUGUGCAACACCUC